AGUGAGCGCUGGCGGUAGGCCUAACACAUGCAAGUCGAACGGCAGCACAGUAAGAGCUUGCUCUUACGGGUGGCGAGUGGCGGACGGGUGAGGAAUACAUCGGAAUCUACUUUUUCGUGGGGGAUAACGUAGGGAAACUUACGCUAAUACCGCAUACGACCUACGGGUGAAAGCAGGGGAUCUUCGGACCUUGCGCGAUUGAAUGAGCCGAUGUCGGAUUAGCUAGUUGGCGGGGUAAAGGCCCACCAAGGCGACGAUCCGUAGCUGGUCUGAGAGGAUGAUCAGCCACACUGGAACUGAGACACGGUCCAGACUCCUACGGGAGGCAGCAGUGGGGAAUAUUGGACAAUGGGCGCAAGCCUGAUCCAGCCAUACCGCGUGGGUGAAGAAGGCCUUCGGGUUGUAGAGCCCUUUUGUUGGGAAAGAAAAGCAGCAGGUUAAUACCCCGCUGUUCUGACGGUACCCAAAGAAUAAGCACCGGCUAACUUCGUG
rnacentral:rRNA from 1 species